UCCGCUAUGAUCACGCAUCCUUACACUAGAUCCUAUCAGAACUCCGCUAUUAAGUGUACUUGUGCGAGAAUAGUACUAGGAUAGGUGACCUCCUGGGAAGUCCUCGUGUUACACUCC